rnacentral:rRNA from 1 species
GACGAACGCUGGCGGCGUGCUUAACACAUGCAAGUCGAACGGAAAGGCCCUGCUUUUGUGGGGUGCUCGAGUGGCGAACGGGUGAGUAACACGUGAGUAACCUGCCCUUGACUUUGGGAUAACUUCAGGAAACUGGGGCUAAUACCGGAUAGGAGCUCCUGCUGCAUGGUGGGGGUUGGAAAGUUUCGGCGGUUGGGGAUGGACUCGCGGCUUAUCAGCUUGUUGGUGGGGUAGUGGCUUACCAAGGCUUUGAAGGGUAGCCGGCCUGAGAGGGUGACCGGCCACAUUGGGACUGAGGUACGGCCCAGACUCCUACGUGCGGCAGCAGUCGGGAAUCUUACACAGUGGGCGGAAGCCUGAUGCGGAAGCGCCGCGUGCGGAAUGCCGGCCUUCGGGUUGUGAACCGCUUUCGCCUGUGACGAAGCGUGAGUGACGGUAAUGGGUAAAGAAGCACCGGCUAACUACGUG